CCCUUCCCGGAUUACUGGGCGUAAGAGCUCGUAGGUGGUUUGUUGCGUCGUCUGUGAAAUUCCGGGGCUUAACUUCGGGGUGGCAGGCGAUACGGGCAUAACUAGAGUGCUGUAGGGGAGACUGGAAUUCCUGGUGUAGCGGUGGAAUGCGCAGAUAUCAGGAGGAACACCGAUGGCGAAGGCAGGUCUCUGGGCAGUAACUGACGCUGAGGAGCGAAAGCAUGGGGAGCGAACAGGAUUAGAUACCCUGGUAGUCCAUGCUGUAAACGGUGGGCGUUAGGUGUGGGGACCGGUUUUGGUUUCUGUGCCGUAGCUAACGCAUUAAGCGCCCCGCCUGGGGAGUACGGCCGCAAGGCUAAAAGUCAAAGA
rnacentral:rRNA from 1 species